GAUGAACGCUGGCGGCGUGCCUAAUACAUGCAAGUCGAGCGAACGGACGAGAAGCUUGCUUCUCUGAUGUUAGCGGCGGACGGGUGCGUGACACGUGGAUAACCUACCUAUAAGACUGGGACAACUUCGGGAAACCGUAGCUAAUACCGGAUAAUAUUUUGAACCCCAUGGUUCAAAAGUGAAAGACGGUCUUGCUGUCGCUGAUAGAUGGAUCCGCGCUGCAUUAGCUAGUUGGUAAGGUAACGGCUUACCACGGCAACGAUGCAUAGCCGACCUGAGAGAGUGAUCGGCCACACUGGAACUGGGACACGGUCCAGACUCCUACGGGAAGCCGCAGUAGGGAAUCUUCCGCAAUGGGCGAAAGCCUGACGGAGCAACGCCGCGUGGGUUAUGAAGGCCUUGGGAUCGUAAAGCUCUGUUAUUAGGGAAGAACAUCUGUGUAAGUAACUGUGCACAUCUUGACGGUACCUAAUCAGAAAGCCACGGCUAACUACGUG
rnacentral:rRNA from 1 species